GACGGAAGGUGCAAGCGUUGCUCGGAAUCACUGGGCGUAAAGGGUGCGUAGGCGGCCGUGCAAGUCUGGCGUGAAAGCCCCGGGCUCAGCCCGGGAAGUGCGCUCGAAACUGCGCGGCUCGAGUGCCGGAGGGGAGAGUGGAAUUCCGUGGUGUAGCGGUGAAAUGCGUAGAUAUCUGGAGGAACACCGGUGGCGAAGGCGGCAUCCUGGACCAAAAUUGACGCUGAAUAGCGAAAGCCAGGGGAGCAAACGGG
rnacentral:rRNA from 1 species